UACCCAUUUUCGACCCAAAAAUAUUUCUUAAUUUCAUGAGACAAAAAUCAAUGGCAUUCAUCGGUGAUUCAAUCUCUCGCAACCAUGUGCAAUCGCUUCUAUGCAUUCUUUCUCAGGUAUAACAUGACUGACUUUGGCUAAAACUGAUAGGUAAAAUAAUUGAAUGAGUAAUAAUGUAUGUCUACAGUUGUAGAGUUAAAUAAUGAUUAUUUUAUUCUAAAAUGAACUUAUAAUAUAAAUUUAUUUUAAUAACUAAAUUGAGGAUAAGUUGGAAGAAGAAAAAAAAAAAGACAAAAUAUGUAAAGGGUUGAUCUUAAGUUUAACCAAUUAAGUUAUUCUAUCAAUAUUAAGCAAAAAUAAAUGAACAUGUAUAGUCGUCUAGAUGAAGUGUUUGACCCAUUAAACUCAUCAACUAAAAAAGAAAAAACAUGAUAAUAAUGUCAAUAGAACAAAAAUUAUAUUUUUGCAGGUAGAAAAGCCAGUGGAGGUGUACCAUGAUGAGGAAUAUCGAACACGCAGAUGGUUUUUCGAAUCACAUAAGUUUACACUUUCGGUGAUUUGGUCGCCUUUUUUAAUCGAAUCCAAAAUCUUCGAGGACAAUGAUGGCCAUGCCUCAAGUGCUGUACAAGCCCGACUUGAUGAGUCGGACCCUGAAUGGGCCAACGAGUUUCAUAACUUUGACUAUAUCGAGAUCGGUGCAGGGAAAUGGUUUUUGAAGACGACAUUCUACUUUGAGAACAACGAGAUUAUCGGGUGUCAUAAUUGUAAAAAAGAGAAUGUACCCGAGCUAGGGUUUUAUUACGCGUAUCGUAAAGCUUUACAGACCACUCUCGAUUUUAUUACAAAAUCGGAUCAUAAAGUUUACACAUUGUUUCGGACCACCACACCGGAUCAUUUUGAGAAUGGGGAGUGGAACACAGGCGGGUAUUGUAACAGGACGGGCCCGUUUGAAGAAGGUGAUAUAGAAUUGAGAGAUAUUGAUAUGGUAAUGAGAGGGAUUGAAUUGGAAGAAUUUGAGAAGGCAGUUCGGGUUAUGGACGGGUCAAGAGAUGGGUCGAUUUUGAAGCUUUUUGAUACGACCCGUUUAUCUUUGCUGAGGCCCGAUGGGCACCCGGGUCCUUACCGGGCUUUCCAUCCGGAUACAAAUGGUGAAGUUCAAAAUGAUUGUUUGCAUUGGUGCUUGCCCGGCCCAAUAGACUCAUGGAAUGAUUUACUUAUGAACAUGUUGCUUAGAGGUUAAAGACAAUAGCGAGGUCUAAUCCAUGGUUUUGAUUUGGAUAAAACCAGAAUGUCUUCGUUGUUGAAGAUGAAGGUAUAUAACGGUUUAUAUAGUAGUUGACUAUGGUUUCCUAUGUUCGUUUGUUGGUGAGGUUAUAAAUUUAUAAUACAAGCGGGGCUACUUAUGCUUGACUUCAAAUUAGUUUAUUUAAUUCGAGUUCACUUCAUCAAUUAACGUUACAUUACGUGUGAAGAUCAUUUACCAAAUGCAUGAUGCGUAAUGAUCAGAUUUUAUGUAUUAAUAAAUGUUUUUUUCCUACGAUUUUCUUAAACAAUAAUGGAAUUUAUCAAAAAAAAAAAAAGUAUGAAGGAUAUCAUAACUAUUCAUAAGAAAGUUGUCACGUAUUUGGUUCAGUGAAAAUAAAAAUAGAAUGAAAUUCAACAGUAAGAUUUAAAGUAUUUCAAAUUUUUAUUUAUAAUUUUAUUUACAUAUUGCAAUGCCUCCGCUUGACUCGAAGGCGAACAAUGUUGUUAAAACCAUGUUCAUAAUCUUACAAUCCCAUCUUGAUAACUCGAUUCCAAUUUUACUUAGAAAAACGAUAAAAUCAUGUUAUCAGAUCAUUACCAUUUUUUUUUAAAUUCAAAUAUUUUAUCUUGUACUAACUAAGUGGAACAAAUAUGAACUCUAGAAAAAACUCAUUUUGAAUUAUUUAUUGUUAAAUGAUAUAUUUAAGAUGUAGUUUUUCAUGUUUUAAACUAUUUAUUGUUAAAUUGAUAGUUAACUAAUUGAUAAAAAUGUAUUUUUAUGUUUUAAGUUAUUCAAUCUAAUAAUCACAAUCUUGCAAAGCAUAAAACAAACAAUUUUACAUAACAUCCAAAAAUUCCCGAUCUUCACAACCUUAAUUUCUAAGAUAAAGACAAUGUUAGAGCUAUGAUUAUAUGUUAAGACAAUAGUAAAGUUGUUUCAUAUGAUGCUUUGCAACUUUGGGUGUAAAAUUCUAUAGAUAUGGAAUUUGAAAGAUUCCAGCAAAACUAAAUUCCAUCCAUUUAGCAACCAAACACAUCAUGGAAUUGAGAAAUCAGAAUAAGUGAAACCAAACAUACCCUAAUACUUUGAUUAUGAAACGGGAAAAGCAAAAAAUGAAAUUAAGCAUGCAUGAACUCAUAAAUGCAGCCCACAAAGAGUUAUCAAAAUUUAUUCAUGAAAAAGAGUCGGAUUUUGAGAACACAUGUGCAAAUUAAGAACCAAAAUAAACAUUCAACAAGAGGAAGCAUAGCAUCAUUUUAAAGGAUGUGAAUUCACCUCUCAACAUCUUCUUCUACUUGCCUUGCUUCUUUUCUGGUGGCUUAGCAAAGGGAUCCUGCAUAUGCAGAAAAUAUAGAAAGUGUAAGAAAUGGGUAUACAUCAGCAAUAAUCUGUUUAAAACUUUAAAUGCGUAUCCCAACACCCCCUUCUACAUUGAGAAACUGGUUCUUCCAUUUAAACCUAGAACUUCCCAAUGCAAAUUCAUACGGACAUGUUAAAAAUCGAAUCUUGGAAGUUGCUAAUUAAUUCAUUUCGGAUCCAAAACCUAAGGUGAAGGAGAGUAUAAUCAUGGAUUUCCAUCAUAAAGAAAAGUUUACAAUCACAAUGUCUCUGAACCGGUCGGCAUCAAAAAACCUAGGUUUAAGGUAAAACGAAUCAACAACAUUUCUUAUCGAGAUUUCAAAUUGAAAUCGAGUAAAAUCCGAACAGAUUAACGUGAUACAAAUACCACAAAUUUUGAGAAAUCAACGACAUGCGAUAAUUGGUAUAAAAAUCAAGGGUUUGAAGUAGUCAUUUGAUAGGAGAAGAGAUUUACGAUUACUUACUUGUUUGAAGAUAAAAUUUAGGGCAAGAGCAGCGCCUGCAACGCCGCCAACCAAAACAGCUGGACCCGUUAUCAAACUCCAUUUCCUGUAAAUCAUUCUUCUUCCUCUUCCUCUUUCUUCCUCCUCUUCGGCUUACUCAAACAAACAAAGGAUCCUGAUUUUCCCAAUUUCCGAUCACUGCGUAUUUGUCCGAAGGUGGGCUUAAGCAUAAAUUGACAAAAUAAACGGAGUCCGAUCAGAUGGGCUUUUGGCGAUUUAC
rnacentral:lncRNA from 1 species